rnacentral:rRNA from 1 species
UGCACCGAAGCUGCGGCAGCGACACUGUGUGUUGUUGGGUAGGGGAGCGUUCUGUAAGCCUGUGAAGGUGGCCUGUGAGGGUUGCUGGAGGUAUCAGAAGUGCGAAUGCUGACAUAAGUAACGAUAAAGCGGGUGAAAAGCCCGCUCGCCGGAAGACCAAGGGUUCCUGUCCAACGUUAAUCGGGGCAGGGUGAGUCGACCCCUAAGGCGAGGCCGAAAGGCGUAGUCGAUGGGAAACGGGUUAAUAUUCCCGUACUUGGUGUUACUGCGAAGGGGGGACGGAGAAGGCUAUGUUGGCCGGGCGACGGUUGUCCCGGUUUAAGCGUGUAGGCUGGUUUUCCAGGCAAAUCCGGAAAAUCAAGGCUGAGGCGUGACGACGAGGCACUACGGUGCUGAAGCAACAAAUGCCCUGCUUCCAGGAAAAGCCUCUAAGCAUCAGGUAACACGAAAUCGUACCCCAAACCGACACAGGUGGUCAGGUAGAGAAUACCAAGGCGCUUGAGAGAACUCGGGUGAAGGAACUAGGCAAAAUGGUGCCGUAACUUCGGGAGAAGGCACGCUGACACGUAGGUGAAGUGAUUUACUCAUGGAGCUGAAGUCAGUCGAAGAUACCAGCUGGCUGCAACUGUUUAUUAAAAACACAGCACUGUGCAAACACGAAAGUGGACGUAUACGGUGUGACGCCUGCCCGGUGCCGGAAGGUUAAUUGAUGGGGUCAGCGCAAGCGAAGCUCCUGAUCGAAGCCCCGGUAAACGGCGGCCGUAACUAUAACGGUCCUAAGGUAGCGAAAUUCCUUGUCGGGUAAGUUCCGACCUGCACGAAUGGCGUAAUGAUGGCCAGGCUGUCUCCACCCGAGACUCAGUGAAAUUGAACUCGCUGUGAAGAUGCAGUGUACCCGCGGCAAGACGGAAAGACCCCGUGAACCUUUACUAUAGCUUGACACUGAACAUUGAGCCUUGAUGUGUAGGAUAGGUGGGAGGCUUUGAAGUGUGGACGCCAGUCUGCAUGGAGCCGACCUUGAAAUACCACCCUUUAAUGUUUGAUGUUCUAACGUGGACCCGUAAUCCGGGUUGCGGACAGUGUCUGGUGGGUAGUUUGACUGGGGCGGUCUCCUCCUAAAGAGUAACGGAGGAGCACGAAGGUUGGCUAAUCCUGGUCGGACAUCAGGAGGUUAGUGCAAUGGCAUAAGCCAGCUUGACUGCGAGCGUGACGGCGCGAGCAGGUGCGAAAGCAGGUCAUAGUGAUCCGGUGGUUCUGAAUGGAAGGGCCAUCGCUCAACGGAUAAAAGGUACUCCGGGGAUAACAGGCUGAUACCGCCCAAGAGUUCAUAUCGACGGCGGUGUUUGGCACCUCGAUGUCGGCUCAUCACAUCCUGGGGCUGAAGUAGGUCCCAAGGGUAUGGCUGUUCGCCAUUUAAAGUGGUACGCGAGCUGGGUUUAGAACGUCGUGAGACAGUUCGGUCCCUAUCUGCCGUGGGCGCUGGAGAACUGAGGGGGGCUGCUCCUAGUACGAGAGGACCGGAGUGGACGCAUCACUGGUGUUCGGGUUGUCAUGCCAAUGGCACUGCCCGGUAGCUAAAUGCGGAAGAGAUAAGUGCUGAAAGCAUCUAAGCACGAAACUUGCCCCGA